AAACCUUAACAAUUUGACUGCAAUUAUUAUAUAAAGGAGUUUGUAAUUUAAUCGAUAAUACACGAUUUAUUUCACUUAUAUUUAUCUUGUAUAUCUCCGUUUAGAUUUUGUUUUUAAUAAUUAAAAUUUUCAAAAUAGUAAUUAUUCAUAUAUCAGGUCAAGGUGCAGUAUAUAUGAGAUAUUAUGCGCUACAAUAAAUAAAUAGUUAAAUGGAUUUAAUAUGAAAAAUUUAAUAAAAGUGGAUUUAUAAGUAAAAUAAAAAAUAAUAUUUAUUUGAAAAACAAAUAAUUGUGUACACAU
rnacentral:rRNA from 1 species